UACGUAGGUGGCAAGCGUUGUCCGGAUUUACUGGGCGUAAAGGGCGUGCAGGCGGUCUGUUUAGUCUAGGGUGAAAGCUCCCGGCUCAACUGGGAGAGGUCCUUGGAUACUGGCAGACUUGAGGGAGGCAGAGGAAAGUGGAAUUCCCGGUGUAGUGGUGAUAUGCGUAGAUAUCGGGAGGAACACCAGUGGCGAAGGCGGCUUUCUGGGCCUUACCUGACGCUGAGACGCGAAAGCGUGGGGAGCGAACAGG
rnacentral:rRNA from 1 species